AUCAGGCUGCGGAGUUUGUGAUACGCCCUCAUUCCUCGGGCCGAUGCUUAACGCAUUCAGGGAGCUGUCUCUGUCGGAUCUUAGUGUUUUGCCGCUUCGAUCCGUUAUAUGGCACCCACCUGUCCAUCAGGGCCGGAAGCGAAUAGCGCUGCGUACACGGCUCUCGCGGCUUUUCU
rnacentral:other from 1 species